ACAUUCAGAGUUCUGGUCGAAAGUUCAAGGUUACCCCACCCUCCCAAGUCAGGGGACACCCACCCACCGAGCUGUGAACAGGUCAGGUCUGCCACCUUUCCCUUAGACUUGAAUUUCUUCUAUUCCUGAGUAUUUUCCGACAGCAGCCCUCUGAGAAGGGCAGACAAAGUCUUCGGAGAAGCUGACCUGGGCAAGAACGGAGUGGGAACUGCAAAUUACAUGCCCGGGAGUAAGGGUCAUGUGUCUAGAAAUCACAGGUCAGGUUCCCUCUUGCCUUACUCUCCAGCUACAUGUGCAGCCUUGGACAAGUCAGUUAAACACGGGGGACUCAGUCUCUUCAUCUGGUAAAGUAGUGUGGGCCACAUACUCCCUAUGAACUUAAAACUAUUCAUUGCUGGGGCACCUGGGUGGCUUAGUCGGUUAAGCAUCUCCCUUCGGCUCAGGUCAUGAUCCCAGGGUCCUGGGAUCAAGCCCCGC